rnacentral:rRNA from 1 species
GACGGAGGAUGCAAGCGUUAUCCGGAAUGAUUGGGCGUAAAGCGUCCGCAGGUGGCAGUUCAAGUCUGCUGUCAAAGACCGGGGCUUAACUUCGGAAAGGCAGUGGAAACUGAACAGCUAGAGUAUGGUAGGGGCAGAGGGAAUUCCUGGUGUAGCGGUGAAAUGCGUAGAGAUCAGGAAGAACAUCGGUGGCGAAGGCGCUCUGCUGGACCAUAACUGACACUCAGGGACGAAAAGCUAGGGGAGCGAAUGGG